UUAUCACAGAUAUACUUAUAUGAAUUAUGAUUGUUCACCAAUACAUUUUGAAUAAUAUUGUUGUUUUUAACGUUUUGUUUUAUGUUUUAAACUCAAAUUUAAAAAAUUAAAACAGUGGGUAGUUAAGAUUUUAAGAUGGUGAAUCUUUGUUUUUGUUUCAAUUGUGCUAGUUCUAGUGUCCUAGUGAUUUUAGAAAAGACUUGUCAUUUCACAAGAAAAAUAUCUGGCUGAAAACUACUUGAAGGAAAUUUUGGCCAUUAAGAAUAACAAAAAUGUAUUGAAGAUUUUGUUUAUUGGAUAUUUCCUAGAUUAUAAAUCCGCAGUAUUAAGUUAAGUUAGGAGAGUAGUAAGUAUAGUUAAGGUAAGUAGUAAUCAGUAGAUACAGCUUCGGGUAAAUAGUGUUAUGAAUAACAUUAUCCACAAGAAAAGCAUGUUUCGACUUGUUACAUUAUUUUAAAUUAUAAUUAUCUACUAAUAAACUAUUUAUUUAUGGUUUAACUAUUCAUAUUUUAUAAAAUUAUUCAAAAAUAUUUUGUGGAAAUUUAAAAAAAAAAAUAAAGAAAUACAAAAUUUUAAGAACCUAACUAAAAUAAUAACGCGGUAAAUGAAAAUACGAUAUUAACGCCAUGUGCAAGACAAGAUAGUAACACCAUUGGUAUGUGCCAUCUCGUUCUAACAUUCUCUUUCGAGCAACACUGCUUGGUGAGCAUUCCAGUUAUCAUAUUAUAGAGUUCAAUGGUCAUUAUAAAAUAUAUGAAUAGGGAAUUGUAGGGAUGGCGAUUAGCAAUACCUAGUGAUAAAAGUAUUAAUAAAUUCGAACACGGUUCUGGUUAUGGAACUAAACGGGCCAAACGUUGGAUAAUGGCGUUUGCAUUUAACUUCGUUUAGCAAACUGCAAACAGACCGUCCGAUUUUCUCCGUUAUCAAACGUUUGCCACGUUUUCCGCUACAGAAUUUCCUCGUAAUACGCACCACCAUAGAUUUAAACAAUUUUACGACGCUCUCCAAAUAUUCUAUUUCGAUGUCUACAGCUACAGAAUCAGCCGCGGUUUUACCAGUCAUAUAGACCAGCGGUUCCCAAACUUUUACGACCACGGCACCCUUAUAUAAUUGUUUGUGUUUCGCGAAACCCUAAUGUCUAAUCCAA